GACCGCUUAGGUGGCCUAGUGAUCAGAGCGUCCGCUUCUGAUGCGUAAGGUCGCAGGUUCAAAUCAAUGCCAAGUCA